GGAUGUCCAGCUCGACGGGGACCCGGAGCCCCACGGGCCGAAGCUGGUGCCACCCUACCUUCAGCCGCCUGGUGUGAAAUAACACGUGGCACCAUUUUCUGUGACCGAUGCCAGAAGCAUCCUCGCUGCUCCCUGAUUCUACAAAUGCUGAAAACACCUCCGGGGCUUCUGCGGAGUCAAGUCCUGCUUUGGUUUUGCCCCGGCUCGCCUGGGGCAUUUUCCUCUCUUCCUCGUUUGCACGCUCUUUGCUUGACCCUCUCUGGUGACCAGCUCUUUAGUGAGAAUCACGUCUCGUUAUGCUUCCACCCAAGUCCCCCUGCCGCCCAGAAGCAGCGAAGAGACUGGGGACUUACACGUGCUAAUUCUUAGCCUCGCUUCUGGGCCAUUAUUACCCUGAUUUUACCUACGGGCGCGGUCACUGGAGCUCAGAGAGGUUGACGGGCUUGUCUGAGGUCACAAAGCUGGCAGCUGACAGAAACAGAAAUCGAGUCCUUACUAGACAGUCUCGUGGCACCUGGGCUGCUCCACGCCCCUGCCUGGGGCCUCUGCCGUCCACCGUCUCACCCGCCCCUGCUCUUCACCAUGUCCUCACCCUGACCUGGCUUCACCGUCCAGGAGCAGGAGAGGGAGACACCUCCACCGCCCGGAAGAGGAAGGAAGGGGGUGUGAGGUGUCGUUGUCACACAGCAUCACAAACCACCAAGGUCCUCGGUGACACACGACGACGAGCUAGGCAUCCCUGCUCCGCUGGCUCUAGGCUUGCCCACGUGACUCACUUAGGCCAGCGGGCACUGGGGAGAGUCCCACGUGAUGGUUCUGGGGAGAACACGUCUGUUCCCAUCAAUGUCUUGCACUUUUGCCAUCGCCACGAGGAAAGGCUUCCUCGGAGCAGCUGCCGCCCCUUGAGCUGGGCCCAGAAUGCACACACCUGGAGUGGAGUCAUCCCUGAGCUCCGCAGGGAGAAGCUGAGGCUUCCAGCCACGCCCAGCCUAGAGCAGCGACUCCAGGCCAAGCGCGGACGCUGCGCGAGGCCAACUGAGUUCGGGGUACCCAUUCAGUUGGCUACAGGAAAUGUGGAUGGAAGACUGAGGACAAUGGCAGGAGUUCUCCAGCUUGGGGAAGGAGGAGGGACCACAAGAAACGAUGCACUAAGGAAAGCAAAGUCACUGGGUACUCACACUGUUCCGGAGGCCUCCAGUAUAGUUUCAAGGUUUUUCUCAAGAAAGACAAAGGCAUGGCGUCCCUUGCUGUGUGGCAGUUUGCGGGCAGAGUGACCCCUCUGUCCGUGGGCCCGGAGGGGCCCCAGAGCCUGGAGAGCAGGGUCCCUCUCUGGGCAGCGUGGCUGGGGCGCAGUACCACGGCAGACCCGCCAGGGCCGCAGACAGCAAACGCUGGGCUGCGGUCUCGUGGCUGGGCCUGGGAAGUGCUCUGUGCAUGGUGCUGUGUAAGCCGGCCGCCAUCAGCGCAAGAGAAGGGUCUUUUGCAGAUUUUGGGAAGCUGCUUCUGGACCACAGAACACCUUACCAGAAAGAUAAGGGGGGAUUCCCCGUGGCGUGUGGGGGUUUGCUGCAAGGCCUGUGAAUUGUGCCAAGUUGAGACUCCUCUUGUCCUGAGAAGUCCCUGUUUCACAUUCAAUAGCAUCAAAAAGAACUUAAAACAUUGUAUGGUAAGACCAA